rnacentral:rRNA from 1 species
CCUACGGGAGGCAGCAGUGGGGAAUAUUGGGCAAUGGAGGAAACUCUGACCCAGCGACGCCGCGUGCGGGAUGAAGGCCUUCGGGUUGUAAACCGCUUUCAGCAGGGAAGAAGCGAAAGUGACGGUACCUGCAGAAGAAGCACCGGCUAACUAUGUGCCAGCAGCCGCGGUAAUACAUAGGGUGCAAGCGUUGUCCGGAAUUAUUGGGCGUAAAGAGCUCGUAGGUGGUUCGUCACGUCGGAUGUGAAAAUCUGGGGCUUAACCCCAGACCUGCAUUCGAUACGGGCGAGCUUGAGUAUGGUAGGGGAGUCUGGAAUUCCUGGUGUAGCGGUGGAAUGCGCAGAUAUCAGGAGGAACACCAAUGGCGAAGGCAGGACUCUGGGCCAUUACUGACACUGAGGAGCGAAAGCGUGGGGAGCGAACAGGAUUAGAUACCCUGGUAGUCCACGCCGUAAACGGUGGGCACUAGUUGUGGGGACCUUCCACGGUCUCUGCGACGCAGCUAACGCAUUAAGUGCCCCGCCUGGGGAGUACGAUCGCAAGNUUAAAACUCAAAGGAUUGACGG